rnacentral:rRNA from 2 species
AAAACGACUCUCGGCAACGGAUAUCUCGGCUCUCGCAUCGAUGAAGAACGCAGCGAAAUGCGAUACUUGGUGUGAAUUGCAGAAUCCCGCGAACCAUCGAGUCUUUGAACGCAAGUUGCGCCCGAAGCCUUUCGGCCGAGGGCACGUCUGCCUGGGUGUCACG